GGCAUGAUGGCCAAGUGGGAAGGCCUUGGUCUUGUAAACUGAAGAUCACAGGUUCAAUUCCUGUUAAUGCCU